CAAAAACAUAGCUACGUGUAAUUACACGUAGUACUUUCUGCUCAAUGAGAUAUUAAAUAGCCGCAGUACCCUGACUGUGCAAAGGUAGCGUAAUCACUUGUCUUUUAAAUGAAGUCUUGCAUGAAGGAAUAUAUGGGGGCUUUCUUUACCAUCAAUAUACAACGAAUUUGCUUAAUGAGUGCAAAUUCUCAUAUAUAAAUAAUAGACGAGAAGACCCUAGAAAUUUGUCAAAUAUUUUGUUGGGGCAACAGGAUAACAUAGAAUUUAUUUGUGUAUAUGAAAUAAUGUUAGUUAAAGUAAAUUACUCUAGGGAUAACAGCAUAAUAUGAAAAUGUUUGUGACCUCGAUGUUGGAUUAGGAAGUUGUAGUUUAGAAGAUAGCAACUUUGCUCUGUUCGCGCA
rnacentral:rRNA from 1 species